rfam:Pterocles gutturalis contig28802, whole genome shotgun sequence.
UAAAUGACUUUUUUUAAAGACACCCUAAGUUAUUAAAAAUAUUUGU